rnacentral:rRNA from 1 species
AUUGAACGCUGGCGGCAGGCCUAACACAUGCAAGUCGAACGGUAGCACAGAGAGCUUGCUCUCGGGUGACGAGUGGCGGACGGGUGAGUAACGUCUGGGAAACUGCCCGAUGGAGGGGGAUAACUACUGGAAACGGUAGCUAAUACCGCAUAACGUCGCAAGACCAAAGUGGGGGACCUUCGGGCCUCACACCAUCGGAUGUGCCCAGAUGGGAUUAGCUAGUAGGUGGGGUAAUGGCUCACCUAGGCGACGAUCCCUAGCUGGUCUGAGAGGAUGACCAGCAACACUGGAACUGAGACACGGUCCAGACUCCUACGGGAGGCAGCAGUGGGGAAUAUUGCACAAUGGGCGCAAGCCUGAUGCAGCCAUGCCGCGUGUAUGAAGAAGGCCUUCGGGUUGUAAAGUACUUUCAGCGGGGAGGAAGGCGGUGAAGUUAAUAGCUUCACCGAUUGACGUUACCCGCAGAAGAAGCACCGGCUAACUCCGUGCCAGCCGCCGCGGUAAUAC